AUUCUCUUUCUCACAUUAUCCUCCAUCAUGUUCCAUCCUAAGUGACUAGAUACAGUUCCUGAUGCUACACAGCAGGAUCUCAUUGCUUAUCCACUCCAAAUGCAAUAGUUUGCAUCUAUUAACCCCAGUGGGAGUCCAUCCCACUCCCUCCCCCUCGGCAACCACAAGUCUGUUUUCCAAGUCCAUGGGUUUCUUUUCUGUGGAAAGGGUCAUUUGUGUAGUAUAUUAGAUUCCAGAUAUAAGUGAUAUCAUACGGUAUUUGUUUUUCUCUUUCUGACUUACUUCACUUAGUUAUGAGUCUCUAAUUCCAUCCACGUUGCUGCAAAUGGCAUUAGUUUGCCCUUUUUUAUGGCUGAGUAGUAUUCCAUGGUGUAAAUAUACCACAUCUUCUUAAUCCAUUCAUCUGCCGAUGGACAUUUAGGUUGUUUCCAUAUCUUGGCUAUUGCGAAUAAUGCUGCAACGAACACAGGGGCACAUGUGUCUUUUCCAAGGAAAGUUUUGCCUGGAUAUGUGACCAAGAGUGGGACUGCUGGAUCCUGUGGUGUUUCUAUAUUUAGUUUUCUGAGGCACCUCCAUACUGUUUUCCAUAGUGGUUGUACCAAUUUACACUCCCACCAGCAGUGUAGGAGGGCUCCCUUUUCUCCACACCCUCUCUAGCAUUUGUUAUUUGUUGUACAGUCGGAUUCCUAACCCACUACGCCACAGCGGGAACUCCUAAAAUAUUUCCUAUUUAAAGUCACGAUUCUAAGCAUCCUCCUCCAGCUGGGGCAGCCGGGACAUGCAGCGCAGAGUUUCUACUGCACUUGCAUGAGGCCCAGCAGCAGUCUUCCACCCUGUGGGCUUCUCCAGCAAGUUAAACUGCAGCGUUUCAUCACCAACAACCAACCUCUUCCACGUACCACCUCCCACAGUGUGCGACAAAAACCCUCUAAGAAAAGCACUAUUAUUUCCCCCAUUUUGAGGCAAUGAGGAAGUGGUCUACGGAAUUAGAAGUGAUUUGCCCUAAGUCACAGUUUCUCAGCACCACCAACACUCUGGGCUAGAGAACUCUCUAUUGUUGGGGGUGGCAGGUCGGGACAGGUUUCCAGGGGCUGCAGGAUGUUUAGUAGCAGCCCCACCUCUACCCACUAGAUGCCAGCAUCGGAACCCCUCCAGCUGUGACAACAAAUGUCUCCAGUCCUUGCCGUGUGUCCCCUGGGGGCCAAAUCAGGGAGGAAGCACUGUCCUGAGUGAUACUACAGCUCACAGCAGAGGACCCAGAGUCUCCCUCUUCUGCCACCCUUUGCUGCUGACAAGCCGAGGGGCCCAGCGGGCCCUAAAGGCAGGCCGGGGAGAAGCCCAUGGAGCGACAGGAUGAGGUUAAGGUGCAGCAAGUAUGCAAUGAUUUCUGGCAGACUCAGCCCCCAGCACAGUAACGCCUGGCUUUCUUCCUGUGCGGCCAAAGGCACCUCUGCACAUAUAAGAGAAUCUCAUUCUGCUCACUUAACAAAGAAUCUUAGAAAAGGAUCCUGCCUACGAGGCACACCUAGUGUAUGCAACACCCAGGAGGGAUCAUUUACUAAAACACUCUCCUCAUAGGACAAAAUUAUCUUCUGUAAUAGUUACAUAAAAAUCAGUUAGUUUCUUGAUUUGUUCUUUAGUAUUAGAACCAUCUGUUUUAAAACAUUACAUGUCAACUUUACUGAUAUCAUGCACAUUUAGUAAAACAUCUCCUGUGUGAACAAAAAUCUGUACUUACCAAGCAAAAACGUGACACAUCCAGGUUUGCACUGUUUUACUGCUUCAAUUUUUAAGCAGAAACAAAAACUCCUAAUGGGCACUUAAAACGACAGAAUUACAAACCUCAAUAAUACUGUUCAUUUCAAAUCUGUUUAAAUGCAGAAAUAAAUACUAUUAUAGGGGUCAAAUACAGGAAGAAUGUCUGAAGCAAGCUGGACUAAUUCCAAACUCCUAAAAAAGUCUCCUCUCCAAAUGAAUGCAUGUAGCCGAGUCCCCUGCCAUGUGUUGGGGGCCAACUGUAUAAUUAGGAGUCUGAUUUAAUUUCCACGUAGGAUACGAUGUCUAUGAAAGGCUAAGUACUUUAAAAGUACUCAUUCGAAGCUUACAUAUAUAUUAUUAAAAUUCAAGUUACCACAGCAAUUAUUCAAAACACACCAACAAAAGAUUUUUGUUGGAGGAAUAUGUUAUCACUGACAUUCAGAAUUACAGGCACAAUUCUAGACUUUCAAACUCUGCAGACAAACUUUUGGGUGGCUUUAUUAUUAUUAUUAAAUUCCCCACAGACAGAACAUCCCUUUACCACGCAGCCCUUGGCACACCAGUCUGCCUCGCAGGGUUCAAAUGGAAUUGAGAGUUCCAACCCAUAGAGCUGUUGGCUGCCAAAGAAUAACGGAAAGAGAAAAAUUACAAGAAAAGCAUCGUAAAAGAAACAAUGAAGCGGCGUGACCUCCGGGUCCCACUUCUAGUCUGACUCCAGCGCACUGCGUACAUCAGACAAGCUAAGAAACGGUGCAGGCAGUGCAGUGGAGAGUCAGCGCGCAGGCUUUGAAGGCUGGCUGCUGCUGUGCCACCCUGGGCAAGUUACUUCAUCUCUCUGGGCCUGUCAGUUUUCUCAUCUUCAAGAUGGAGAUAAAUAAUCUCUGCCCCGUGGGACGGUGGUAAGGUAAUAAAAGGAGGGCAGAGUUAAGUGCUCUGUACAUAACAGUCAGGGUACCUGGGAAAUAGCCUGACAUUCCUGAAUCAGGGAUGAGUAUAUAGGGAUUCUUUAUACUCUUCAGUUUUGUAUACUUUUAAAUUUUCAAAAUAAAUGUUUCAACUUAGUUGCUGUUAGCAGGAUCCUUAUCUAAAACACAGGAGAAAUAAGGCUCCCUCGGGUCUCUACCAGCUCAUUAUAUAUCCCAGACUGGAAAGUGGCUCCAGCCCCAGGUGUCAAUCAGGACUGAGGGUGAAGGGCAAAGGCAUUCCAGGAAUAAGCUCCGAGAGCCACCACUGCACCAUCGACGCCCCACACGCACUCGCCUCAAUGACGAGUCGGACCGACUCCAGGCACUCGAUGCAAAAUACAAACCAAGAUGGGACCAGCACCUCCAGAUCCAAACCCCCGACGACCCGAGACGGGCGCCCCGCCCAGGAAAUAAGCUGGAUCUUUCUACUCAUCAUGGAUCAGAAACCAGCUACUGACACGACAAUGAGGGGGCUGAUCUCAGAGGAGGGAAAUACCUCCCCCCAGGGCUGAGCCAACUGAAUGCUCUGUGUACCAGGAAGGACUCUGAGGCCCUGGGGGAGGGGGGACUUUACAUUCGCAUGACGGAAGGCUGGGCACUCACAAGGGCUUGCAGAGUGUAUAGGCAAAUAAGUGAGAAAACUAUCAAGCCAGGCUUUGAGAAUCCAUCACAUGUUAGCGUUCAUGUCCUACUGGCUUCCAGAAACAUAACUGGAUGGUGUUCUGAGUCCGCCACGUCCUUCCACAGCUCGGACCCCCCCCCCUCCGCAGAGCACAGAGCGCCCCCUCCCAGGUCCAGGGUAGGCAGGGCUGGCAUGGGGACAGAGGUGAGCCAGAGAGGCCGCAAGAAGAGAAAGGUGGCCUUUCGACACCACCUUCCCUUCUGCUCCCCCUGCUUCCCUCCACUCCUCAGUCACGGGGAGGAGGCAUGAAGUCACAGCUCGUGGGAGCUGAAGUCAAGGCCACGGUCCUUUGGCAGCGCACUGACCCAUUCCCCUAGCAGACAGGUGUCUUUCCCGUCACACAGUUAGGCUCCAUUCCUGACGUCUGGCUGCCUGGGAAGAAAGUGGGGGAUCCUCUCUCCGCCAUGCAGGACCUUCGGGCCACCCAAGCCCAGGCAGACAGGCCAGCGAGCCCUCGGCAAGCUCCCCCUCCAAACACAGUGAUGGCCAAGCCAGUCUUCGUGCCCUGCUUCUGAGACACCUUUUGGCUGCCCAGUGCUCCCCACCAUAGCUUCGGCAUGUGACGAGAGCCCUGUCGCUCUCUCUGGGUGUACAUGUGGCCUCAUCGGCCUGACCGAUGAACCAAACGUUGGGCAGGAUCUCCCAAGUCUGUGCUUCUCCAAGUGCUGCUUGGGACUUCAGUCCACCCUUCUCCAAGGUCAUCACUUAGCAAACCAGCUCCUCCGGCAUCUCUCCAACAGCCAGUGGGCUUACAAACUAACAGGCAUCCAUCAGGAUCCACCCAACCAGCCCUUGACUUUAGACCAACAUGUGUGAGCCUCGCUUCCCACCCCACUAGAGCAGGUGGAGAAAUACCGCCCCCUUACCCAACGGGGACCUGGUGAGGGACACAGGCCGGCACUGCCAGCGGGAACACCUACACAGCACCAGGAGGUGGCGGCCCCCUCCCCAACACCCCGCCCUCUGGCUCCCUUCAGGUUCUGUUCUAAAGGCUUAGAUCACUAAAACAAAGUAAGACAACCCCUCUGCUCAGUACACGUACACCAAACCCUAGUCUAAGAAGCAAGAACAGAGAACUUUCACUAUAAUAUAAUACAUAUGGGUUAACAUCAGGCAGAAGCUCUCACACCGUGAAACACUGAAUUUCACACCCCUCGCCUCACCAAGGCCGACCUCUGGGGUUCCCUUCCCACUGCUGAGCCUGCUGGAAGACGGGAGUAUUUUGAUCACGCCACAGAGAAUCCACUUACAAAGGGAAAGCACUUCUCCCACUUAAAACAACACCUGUAAUGAGGAAGCUCCCCCCUUCAUGCAGAACAACCUAAAUCUAGCAACCACCCCGCCAGGCUGAUGAGCCAAAUAUCAGGGUUAGGAUAAAGUGUGUCCCAAACCUCUUCCAACUCUUUAAGGUCAUGGCUCCAAUACUCAUGACCUUUUGGUCAUCAAAUUAAAGUUUAGAAGAAACACAAAGAACCGUUGCUUAAGGUGCUGAGAAAUCAGGUCUCAACGUCGAAGCGGGUCCGGGGGGAUCUCGGGGAAACUGUCCGGGUCUGGCUCUGGCUGACGGGGGCCAGGCGCUCCUUGGCCCCCGCGUCUUGGCUGCCCAGCUGCGCAGACGUCAGCCAGUGUCCCCCUGCACUGGCACCGCCCUCCCUGCGCCAGCCCAAGUGACACGUGGCCAAUUCCUGGAAAGAGAUAACGGCUGGAAAUCACAUGUGCCGCCGCCUGCAAAGUCUUCACGAGCUCAAAUGUCACCACAGAAACCUCUGAGAGAGAGGGAAACAGCCAAGGGUCAGACACCGACUUCUGCAGAUAUCCAGUACCCUUGGAGAAAAGGUCAUUCAACAUCAAAGUCAGCAAGAAACGCGUCAAAAGAUAACUACACGUCUCGUAAGGCGCUUCUCCGCCUUCAGCAUCCAGCACAACAGGCAGCUACUGAACCCAACCUCCCCCAGCACUAACCCACAGGCGUUCACACAGUAACCCCACACUUACCAGUGUCCCACUCUCUCUGGAACACUGUGCCCAGUACUGAGGAUGAAGAGAUAAGAGCCUGGACCAAAGAAGACAAAGCUGUGAUUAACGAAUUCUAAGACAAGACAGUAACAGCAGUUGGGUGUAUGUAUUUAGUACCUACUAUGUGCAAGUCCAGCGGGGCUCAAAACGUGGUCCCUGAAUCUCUGGGAACCCAAGAAGCUUUUAGGGGGGUCCAAAACUAUUUGCAUUGUGAUACAAAUAAUUUUUUGCCCUUUCACUGUAUUGACGUUUGCAGUAACGGUGCCAGUGCAACAGAGGUUAAGACUGCUGAUGCCUUGGCACAAAUCAAGGUAGUGACACCAAACUGUGCCAGCAGUUCUGCUGGUUUUCACCUCAUGUACUCACAAAGGGGGGGAGCCAGUCUCACUAAGAACGCCCUUGAUGAAACAGUAACGAUGAUUCUUCCUAUUAAGUCUCCACCCUUGAGUAAAUCUCUUUUUAAUAUUCUACAUGAUGAAAUGGCAAGUACGUCAAUGGCCACCUUGACAUAAAGCUCUUAAAUGUGUGGCAAUGGUUUGGGCUGCAUGCGCUGAACUAGCCACUUUUUUCACAAAAUAUCCUUUUUACCUGAAAGAACAAAUAACAAACAAUAGUUAUUCAGACUUGCCUGUUUUUUAAUAUUUGAGAAAAUGUUUGACAAAAUGAGCCUGUUACUUCAAAUCUGUAUUGCUAAUGGCAUAAAUUUGAGCUUUCACCUGGAAUUUUAAACUAUGGAAAACACUUAACUGCCACCUAACCUUGAGGCUUUUUAAUCCUCAAAAGACUUUUCUGAUGAGAUCAAAGACAAGUCAAGUGUAAUUUUAGAUAGGUAGACAGGUAGAUGAAAUAUAUCAAUAUCUGGAAGAACUGCAUAACUUGGUAAACCAAUACUUUCCAAAUGAUCAAAGCAUGAUGUUACAAAACCUUACCCUGUAUUGGUAAAAUAUCCAAAGUGCAAGCUAGAUCAAUACAUUUUAAUGUGAUAGAACAAAUGGUUUCCGAUUCCACAGUCCAAUCUCUAAUGAACUACCACCUGUUAAGUUUCAGCACAGUAUCAAAGAAUCCCCACAUUAAAAUUUUUUUAAAGGCUAUUCCUAAAAUACAAUCUCUUCAUUAACAUCAUCCUUGAGGGUGAAAGACUGAGAGCUUUUCCUCUACUGUCAGGAACAAGACAAAGGUAUCGACUCUCCAUACUCCUAUCCAACACAGUAUGGGAAAUCCCAGCCAGAGUAUGCGGGC
rnacentral:lncRNA from 1 species